UACGGAGGGAGCUAGCGUUGUUCGGAAUUACUGGGCGUAAAGCGCGCGUAGGCGGCUUUGUAAGUUAGAGGUGAAAGCCCGGGGCUCAACCCCGGAACUGCCUUUAAGACUGCAUCGCUUGAAUCCGGGAGAGGUGAGUGGAAUUCCGAGUGUAGAGGUGAAAUUCGUAGAUAUUCGGAAGAACACCAGUGGCGAAGGCGGCUCACUGGACCGGUAUUGACGCUGAUGUGCGAAAGCUAGGGGAGCAAACGGG
rnacentral:rRNA from 1 species